rnacentral:tRNA from 1 species
CAAGAUGUAGCUUAAACUAAAGCGUCUGGCUUACACCCAGAAGAUUUCAUAUCAAACUGACCAUCUUGA